ensembl:lncRNA
CGUGUCUUCCGAGAGCGCGCUCGCGUGGGAGCACACAACGCGCAUGAUGCCACUCUCAGGUAACGGAUACAGGGAGGAUUCUGGGAACUGCCAACCCGCUCUUAUACGCACGCGGAGCGGGAGAGAGAGGGACAGAGAGAGAGAAGGUGACUUGCAAGCUAAUGAAAUUCAUUGAGAAUGUGCGCCAGGGAAAUUAUUAAAAAUGCGUCGGACAGAUGUCUUCACUAAUGAUCGUGCUGAAAACACACACGUGUGUCGUCUACAGACUUUUAAAUUCUGUGUAUUUUUGCCGCGCGUGUGUUUUGUUGCACAUAUUGCAAAGGGAUGCAGUAUCGUUCAGUGGUUGAGAAAAUGGGGAAAACAGUAAACGUUAAAUGCAGACACUUAAUAAAUGAUUUAUAACAACAAAAACAAAAUGUGUAUGUUUAUAUAUGUAAGUUUUAUUUUUCAACAAUUAUAACUUCUCCUUUUUGAAGAUUUAUUCAUUAUUACGGUUUUAUAUACACUUUCAUUCAUAAUUUUAUUACAAACUUGUAUCCAUCCAAACCCCAUGUUGAAUGUUUUAAAUACAACUCAAUGCAAGAUCCAACAAAAAGUUAUGACUCUGAGAUAUUUAAUAUUUAAUGUAAAACUGAGAAAAGUGGAAGAUUUCUACAUUUGAGAAGCUGAAACGUAUGUUUUGCCCUUUUUUUAAUUCAUGAACUAAGAUAAAUGAUUGGCCAGCCGUAAUAAUGCGCACUACAUACAGUUUACUGUUUUCUUUCUGCAGAUUUCAAUAUGCCACGAGAAAUGAUUUGGAUAGACUUGCAAAGCUUUGUGCCGUGUGUGGAAACUUCCAGCCUGACCCCCCCCUGAGAUGCCGAGACUGCACACGUUCCUCGCUAUGAGCCGGAUAGAUGAGAUCUUGGUGUCUUGUCGGUGGUUUCAACAAACCCAUUUCCAUAUUUUGUUUCUGAAGAUCCCACAACCUGCGUUUGAAAAGGUUUAGUUGUCUCUGUGUUUAUUUUGUUACACGCAUUGAAUAUGAGAAAGAUACGGCCGCUUCGAAGCAGACUUUGCAAUGUUGUUUCUUUCUAUAGUGAAAGGGCUGUGAUUUGGAAAGAAGUUAAAGCAAAGCCA